rnacentral:rRNA from 1 species
AACGAACGCUGGCGGCAUGCCUAACACAUGCAAGUCGAACGAGACCUUCGGGUCUAGUGGCGCACGGGUGCGUAACGCGUGGGAACCUGCCCUUGGGUUCGGAAUAACUCCCCGAAAGGGGUGCUAAUACCGGAUAAUGUCUUCGGACCAAAGAUUUAUCGCCUUUGGAUGGGCCCGCGUUGGAUUAGCUUGUUGGUAGGGUAAAAGCAUACCAAGGCGACGAUCCAUAGCUGGUCUGAGAGGAUGAUCAGCCACACUGGGACUGAGACACGGCCCAGACUCCUACGAGAGGCAGCAGUGGGGAACAUUGGACAAUGGGCGAAAGCCUGAUCCAGCAAUGCCGCGUGAGUGAUGAAGGCCUUAGGGUUGUAAAGCUCUUUUACCCGGGAUGAUAAUGACAGUACCGGGAGAAUAAGCUCCGGCUAACUCCGUG